GCCGGGCGCGGUGGCGCGUGCCUGUAGUCCCAGCUACUAGGGAGGCUGAGGCUGGAGGAUCGCUUGAGUCCAGGAGUUCUGGGCUGUAGUGCGCUAUGCCGAUCGGGUGUCUGCACUAAGUUCGGCAUCAAUAUGGUGACCUCCCGGGAGCGGGGGACCACCAGGUUGCCUAAGGAGGGGUGAACCGGCCCAGGUCGGAAACGGAGCGGGUCAAAACUCCCAUGCUGAUCAGUAACCAAACACCACCUGUUUCCCAAUAACCUACGGAAAUUUUUUUUUUAAUUAUUUUAAACCACUAGGUCAUUCAUAUGGUAUAGUUUCCUUAUACAUUAGACCAAGUUUCAACCUCA
rnacentral:SRP_RNA from 1 species